GAUCCACUUUCUCCAUCCACUAGGCUAGCUCAUGCUGGCUAAGAUACUUUUGGUCACACAUAAAAUAAGGGGAACAGAUUACCUAUCAAUAUGAAUUAGAUACAAUAAAGCUAUACACUCAUCGGGAACAUUUUGCCCCAUAUAUAUAAAUUUAUCUUGAUUUACAAAAUAGCAGCUUCAUUCUGGUACAUAAUUGUAAAGCAAUUAGACGAAACACAUGAGAUGGCACAGCUGUUUAUUCCGCGAGAGAGAGAGAGAGAGCAAUAAUUGGAAAUAAAGUUAACUGAGUUCCGGGUAAAAAAAUAAAAAUAACAAACCAGGUUGAAAGAAUGGGUUUUGGAGAGAAGACGGCGAGAGGAGGACACUUGUGCUGGGAUCGGACCUGGUAAUCUCUGAGUUGCUCCACGAGUUUCGAUCGAGUUAUCAUCGAAUUGCAGUUGCACCGACUCCUGCUCGCAAACCUCAGAAUUUAACUGAACUGGAUUGAAUCAAAAUUGCAGGGAAUUCUGUAAAUCGAACUUAUGAUGCCACCUAAUAAGUACUUAAGUUUCGAUUUCGAUUUCGAUUUCCAUCUGGAUUUUUGCAGAUUCAUUCAGCAUUGAAUCCUGGACAAACAUUAGGGUUUUGGGGAAGGAAUUGUUUUGGCAGAGACUAGAAGUAAAGUCUAUUGCUAAACAUUUGCAUAAGUAAAUAUAAAACGAAACCAUGUAUGGUCACAUUAGUCCCAUUUGUAUGACUAAUAGCAAAAUUUCCAAAAACUUAAUCCAACAUGCAUCAUACUCUAGGUGAUCAGGGGUACGCGAUAAGAAUUUUGAUGGUAAUAAAAUAG
rnacentral:lncRNA from 1 species